rnacentral:misc_RNA from 1 species
GGUAAAGCUACAUUUCACAUGCUUCCUUCCUCCAUGCUCACCCACAUCAGUCUCCUCUCUGUCUGCAAUUUGAAAUCUUUCUGUCUCUCUCUAUACAGAGUAUAUUCUUUAUACCAAAAUUUAAGCGAUUGAAAACUUCAAGAGAAAACUUGUAAAUACUAUUGACAAAAGAGUGAGAAAUGGAGAGCAGCGAAGAAGAUGAUGACUUCCCGUCAAUAGAAAGCAUUACACCUCA